rnacentral:lncRNA from 12 species
CCAUCCCAUCCCAUCCCAUCCCAUCCCAUCCCAUCCCAUCCCAUCCCAUCCCAUCCUCCGAUGGGGACACAACGAGAGUCUUUGCCCUGGCUGCAACUGUGGUGAUGUGGAAGAUCCUCCAGGAGCCCUGCAUCCCACAAAUAGUGAGACUGUAUUUCACCCGCCUAUUUGUCCACCUGCAUUUCCAAGUGUUCUGCAGCACUUUGGAUACACCAGAGAAGGUCGAUGAAUUCUGGAAGGGAUGCCAGCAGCAACCCGGCCUUGGCACCAGCCCCAAAAGGUUUGCAGUGCAGACCCUGAAAUCCCUGCUCUGCCAAAUGCAGUGUGAGGCUGUAGUGACAGCAAUGGAACAGAACCAUGGCUGGGACAUGCUGCUGUCUGCUGACACCCAGCACUAUGCCAUGGGUCUGCUGGCCAGGGAGAUGUCAUUUGUCUCCCUACCAUUGUGUUCCCGGAUCUUUUGCUGCCAUGUCUUGAUGCCCUUGUGUUCCCAUGUUGCGCUCCACCUACUCCAGCUGCUCAGCACACAGGAGCCACGCUGGGAUCUGCCUGCCCUGGCAUUCCUUGUGGAGGUGAGCCUGAUGGCCAGCGCUGCCUCCCUGAGCUGCCUCCCAGCUCUCUGGCCUCUCGUAGCCACAGCUGCCUGCGACGGUGCCCGUGCCCUGUGCUGCUGGCUGGGCCCAGCCCUGUGCAGUUCUGGGCUCCUGCCGGCCGGGUCCCCCGUCACUGCCCUGUGCCUUUCAGGUCCUGGAGUACUUGGACUUGAGUGAAGACAGUGCUAACACAGUUCUGCAGAUCUUGCCACGGCACCUGCAGAGCGA